GACGAACGCUGGCGGCGUGCUUAACACAUGCAAGUCGAGCGGAAAGGCUCCUUCGGGGGUACUCGAGCGGCGAACGGGUGAGUAACACGUGAGUAAUCUGCCCUUGGCUUCGGGAUAGCCACCGGAAACGGUGAUUAAUACCGGAUACGACAACUUCUCGCAUGGGAUGGUUGUGGAAAGUUUUUCGGCCAGGGAUGUGCUCGCGGCCUAUCAGCUUGAUGGUGAGGUAAUGGCUCACCAUGGCUUCGACGGGUAGCCGGCCUGAGAGGGUGACCGGUCACACUGGGACUGAGACACGGCCCAGACUCCUACGGGAGGCAGCAGUGGGGAAUAUUGGACAAUGGGCGGAAGCCUGAUCCAGCAACGCCGCGUGAGGGAUGACGGCCUUCGGGUUGUAAACCUCUUUCGGUAGGGACGAAGCGCAAGUGACGGUACCUACUAAAGAAGCACCGGCCAACUACGUGCCAGCAGCCGCAGUAACAC
rnacentral:rRNA from 1 species